CGCUGGCGGCGUGCCUAAUACAUGCAAGUCGAGCGGACCGACGGGAGCUUGCUCCCUUAGGUCAGCGGCGGACGGGUGAGUAACACGUGGGUAACCUGCCUGUAAGACUGGGAUAACUCCGGGAAACCGGGGCUAAUACCGGAUGCUUGAUUGAACCGCAUGGUUCAAUCAUAAAAGGUGGCUUUUAGCUACCACUUACAGAUGGACCCGCGGCGCAUUAGCUAGUUGGUGAGGUAACGGCUCACCAAGGCGACGAUGCGUAGCCGACCUGAGAGGGUGAUCGGCCACACUGGGACUGAGACACGGCCCAGACUCCUACGGGAGGCAGCAGUAGGGAAUCUUCCGCAAUGGACGAAAGUCUGACGGAGCAACGCCGCGUGAGUGAUGAAGGUUUUCGGAUCGUAAAACUCUGUUGUUAGGGAAGAACAAGUACCGUUCGAAUAGGGCGGUACCUUGACGGUACCUAACCAGAAAGCCACGGCUAACUACGUGCCAGCAGCCGCGGUAAUACGUAGGUGGCAAGCGUUGUCCGGAAUUAUUGGGCGUAAAGCGCGCGCAGGCGGUUUCUUAAGUCUGAUGUGAAAGCCCCCGGCUCAACCGGGGAGGGUCAUUGGAAACUGGGGAACUUGAGUGCAGAAGAGGAGAGUGGAAUUCCACGUGUAGCGGUGAAAUGCGUAGAGAUGUGGAGGAACACCAGUGGCGAAGGCGACUCUCUGGUCUGUAACUGACGCUGAGGCGCGAAAGCGUGGGGAGCGAACAGGAUUAGAUACCCUGGUAGUCCACGCCGUAAACGAUGAGUGCUAAGUGUUAGAGGGUUUCCGCCCUUUAGUGCUGCAGCAAACGCAUUAAGCACUCCGCCUGGGGAGUACGGUCGCAAGACUGAAACUCAAAGGAAUUGACGGGGGCCCGCACAAGCGGUGGAGCAUGUGGUUUAAUUCGAAGCAACGCGAAGAACCUUACCAGGUCUUGACAUCCUCUGACAACCCUAGAGAUAGGGCUUCCCCUUCGGGGGCAGAGUGACAGGUGGUGCAUGGUUGUCGUCAGCUCGUGUCGUGAGAUGUUGGGUUAAGUCCCGCAACGAGCGCAACCCUUGAUCUUAGUUGCCAGCAUUCAGUUGGGCACUCUAAGGUGACUGCCGGUGACAAACCGGAGGAAGGUGGGGAUGACGUCAAAUCAUCAUGCCCCUUAUGACCUGGGCUACACACGUGCUACAAUGGGCAGAACAAAGGGCAGCGAAGCCGCGAGGCUAAGCCAAUCCCACAAAUCUGUUCUCAGUUCGGAUCGCAGUCUGCAACUCGACUGCGUGAAGCUGGAAUCGCUAGUAAUCGCGGAUCAGCAUGCCGCGGUGAAUACGUUCCCG
rnacentral:rRNA from 1 species